UAUUAGGUUGGUGUGAAAGUAAUUGCGGUUUUUGCCAUUACUUUUAACUGCAAAAACCACAAUUGUUUUUGCACCAACAUAAUACU
ensembl:miRNA